AUUGAACGCUGGCGGCAGGCCUAACACAUGCAAGUCGAGCGAGCGGCGGACGGGUGAGCACUUCAUGGGGAUCUGCCCGAUCGAGGGGGAUAACUACUGGAAACGGUGGCUAAUACCGCAUACCAUCAGAUGGACCCAUAUGGGAUUAGCGAGUAGGUGGGGUAAAGGCUAGCCAAGGCGACGAUCGCUAGCUGGUCUGAGAGGAUGAUCAGCCAUACUGGGACUGAGACACUGCCCAGACUCCUACGGGAGGCAGCAGUGGGUAAUAUUUCACAAUGGCCGCAAGCCUGCUGCAGCGAUGCCGAGUGUAUGAAGAAGGCCUUAGGGUUGUGAAGUACUUUCAGCGGGGAGGCGUUACCCGCAGAAGAAGCACCGGCUAACUCCGUGCCAGCAGCCGCGGUAAUUC
rnacentral:rRNA from 1 species